CCUACGGGAGGCAGCAGUGAGGAAUAUUGGUCAAUGGACGAGAGUCUGAACCAGCCAAGUAGCGUGAAGGAUGACUGCCCUAUGGGUUGUAAACUUCUUUUAUAUGGGAAUAAAAUGUUCCACGUGUGGGAUUUUGUAUGUACCAUAUGAAUAAGGAUCGGCUAACUCCGUGCCAGCAGCCGCGGUAAUACGGAGGAUCCGAGCGUUAUCCGGAUUUAUUGGGUUUAAAGGGAGCGUAGGUGGUGUGUUAAGUCAGGUGUGAAAGUUUGCGGCUCAACCGUAACAUUGCAGUUGAAACUGGCGGUCUUGAGUACAGUAGAGGUGGGCGGAAUUCGUGGUGUAGCGGUGAAAUGCUUAGAUAUCACGAAGAACUCCGAUUGCGAAGGCAGCUCACUGGAGUGCAACUGACACUGAGGCUCGAAAGUGUGGGUAUCAAACAGGAUUAGAUACCCGAGUAGUC
rnacentral:rRNA from 1 species